GUUCCCGGAUCUAGCCUCCUUCCUACCCGGUGUGGCGCCCAUGUCCUGCUGGGCCCCAGGCCCGAGCGCCGGGAACUUCUCUAGAAGCCGAUUGGCCGACCAAGCCCAGCCCCCGGGCUCUGCGGAGAGUCGCGGCGGAGCUCAGUGGCUGCCGGCACUCAAAGGCUUUUGCCUCUCAGGCAGUAGAGAUGUGCGAGGGGCUGGCUCCUGCCGCCUCCCCUGAUGGCUUGGCCAUGGGGAGGGUCCGCCAGACACCCGAAGGACCUAGGACGGAAAAGCGACCGGAAACUCUCCCUGCCGCCGUAGUGACGCCGGGGUUCUUGUUCACGAAGCUGAAGAAUGAGCUUCACAAACAGUUAAGGGAAAGAGGCCCCACAGCAGAAUUCUGAAGGAGCUACUCCCAGAACUCAUGUAGAGAAAGUGGAUUCUCAGAAGGCAUCAACCAUCCUGGAUGUCAUACUGCCCUGCUCAAGCCACAGCCAUCAGCUUUGGUGGCUUCAGUUGAAAAGAACUGCUUUGCUCAAAGUUAGGCCCCUUUCUGAGCAGCCAGCAUCCACUGACUGAUGCCCAUUCUACUUUCUUUUGUUUAACAGGUGUUGAUUAUAGAGUACUCCCUAAUAAAUGUCCUGUGUGCUAAUCUCCAUUCAAAAUUGAAUUCCCAGGAAAUCGUAUCUGUGAUGUCUCCCUAGUGUAGAUGGACAGUUUGGAGGAGAAGAUAACAAAUAAGUAAAUUUGUUAUUUGUACCCUGAAGGAAAUGAACAAGAUACAGUGAUGGUAAACAAUGGGAGAGUCAUACUUGAUGACACUUAAGCCAAAAACUGUACAGCAGGUCCAAGUCAGCCAUGUGAGGAGCAGGUAGGAGAGUGUAUUCAGGAAGAGAAACAUCUUGGAUAAAGGCUCAUCCCAAAGUGCUCAGUAUAUUGAGCUAUCACAUAGAGCUUUGUAGCCUUUUAAUGGAUUUUAUUUCAAAUGCAGUGUGAGGGUUUUAAGGAUUUUUAAACAAGGAAAUAAAAUGCUGGGAUUUACAUUUUUUAAAAUUGCUCUGAUACAGUGUAAAGAAUAGACUGGAAGAGAGGAAGCCAUUAGAGAGGUUACUGCAGCAUCAAGCAACAUGACCACCUGAAGUUUGCCUCUUCCCUCUAAACCAUGUCCCAGGUGCCCAAGACCAUAGAAUUCCCUGCCCAGAGAGUGCAAACCUACUUCCAGGACUUUCAUGGGCCUCUUCCCUAUGUCUAACUCCCUAAGGACAGAAUGUACACCCUUAAGGCCAUGAAGCAUCCAGGGAGUGGUCUGUAGGGCUGGGAAAUGGAGUGUCCACAAAUGUGUGUGAAGCCCCUUAUAUUGUGGGAUGAAGCCAGGAUUGGAAAGCAAGGAGGAUGAGCUGUGAGGUAAUCUCUACCUACCCUGACACAUUCCAAUAUGGAAACAGAAGGAUUCCAAGAAUCCUAAAUUUGAGGCUGGGCCAUCCAGGCAUUAAAAAUUUAUAUUUGUCAAGAAAUGAGGACAGAGCAUAUUUUAUUGAACAAGUUGUCAGCUUUUUUUAAAACAUAAAAUGUUUUUAGACAUGUG